rnacentral:rRNA from 1 species
UACAGAGGGUGCAAGCGUUAAUCGGAAUUACUGGGCGUAAAGCGCGCGUAGGUGGUUUGUUAAGUUGGAUGUGAAAUCCCCGGGCUCAACCUGGGAACUGCAUCCAAACCUGGCAAGCUAGAGUAGGGCAGAGGGUGGUGGAAUUUCCUGUGUAGCGGUGAAAUGCGUAGAUAUAGGAAGGAACACCAGUGGCGAAGGCGACCACCUGGGCUCAUACUGACACUGAGGUGCGAAAGCGUGGGGAGCAAACAGG